rnacentral:lncRNA from 1 species
UUCUAACAGCUCCCAAGGUUUGCAGCUACUAGGUUUUCUGUAACGGCUUGUACUUGGAGAAUCUCUUUCAAAAUCGGUGAGCAGGGUGCUCUUGUGCUGGACUAUGAGGAGUAACUUUCUACGAGUUUUGGAACUGUGCUGAUAUGGCACUUGGCAAGCUUUACCUGGGAGCAUCUCGUGCAGAGAACAUGAAGAGCAUAUCAGAGGUUAGAGGAUAAAGAAAAGCAGAAAUAUUUGCUCUUCUCCAGAUGCCUGUGACUCACAUGCUGAUGAGUGCCUGUUCUGCUUUAGCCUCCAAUGCAUCUUUUGAGGCCUGAUGUUCCAGGGAGGUCCUUGUGCUGCA